GACGAACGCUGACGGUGUGCUUUAGACAUGCAAGUCGAACGAGAAAGCCCUUCGGGGUGAGUACAGUGGCGAACGGGUGAGUAACACGUGGGCAACCUGCCCCUCGCAGGGGGACGAACCGGAGGAAACUCCGGCUAAUACCCCGUAAGCUUGUUGGGUCGCAUGACCCCUCAAGGAAAGGUAGCUUCGGCCAUCCGGCGAGGGAUGGGCCCGCGGUACAUUAGCUAGUUGGUGGGGUAACGGCCCACCAAGGCGACGAUGUAUAGCUGGUCUGAGAGGAUGAUCAGCCACACUGGGACUGAGACACGGCCCAGACUCCUACGGGAGGCAGCAGUCGGGAAUCUUGCGCAAUGGGCGAAAGCCUGACGCAGCAACACCGUGUGAGCGACGAAGGCC
rnacentral:rRNA from 1 species